UACGAAGGGGGCUAGCGUUGCUCGGAAUCACUGGGCGUAAAGCGCACGUAGGCGGCUUGUUAAGUCAGGGGUGAAAUCCUGGAGCUCAACCCCAGAACUGCCUUUGAUACUGGCGAGCUUGAGUUCGGGAGAGGUGAGUGGAACUGCGAGUGUAGAGGUGAAAUUCGUAGAUAUUCGCAAGAACACCAGUGGCGAAGGCGGCUCACUGGCCCGAUACUGACGCUGAGGUGCGAAAGCGUGGGGAGCAAACAGG
rnacentral:rRNA from 1 species